GAAGACCUAUAAUGUUUUCCCAAAAAAUGUGAACAACUUUAAAAUGAAAACCUAAAUGAUAAAAGUUGAUUAGAAUUUCAUGUAAAGCAAGAUGGUGGGAUCUAAAAUUAUUUAUGAACAACCAACAAUGAAAAUCGUAGGUAGUAACAAAAUGAAACCCUAGACUAAAUAUCAAAAUUAAAUGCUACUUAGUUCAUGAAAAUGCAAUUAAAUGGCAUGGUGAUCAUCAAGAACAAAUUUCCAACAGCAUGGCAUCAAGAAAUUUGAGACUUGGUUCAAGUUUCAUACCUCUUGAAGAUCACUCGAAUGGAUGACUUAAGAGAAUUUGUUCUUCCUCCACAGGUCACUUUUAUGCUUGCUUCAAGUUGUUACAUCAUCACCACACUUCAGAUAACCUUGUUGAGCCAAAGCAAAACCUUGAGAUUCAAAACCAUAUUCAAAGUUUAGAGGUUCAGUGAGAAAAGUUGCAAAGGUUCAAUGGUUAUCCAAUCUUUAUAAUGGCAAUGCAAGAGUCUCUAUUUAGAGAGAGAGAGAGAGAGAGAGAGAGAGAGAGAGAGAGAGAGUUGGUUAUUUGUUGAAAGCUUCCAAUUAGGUUAGAGGGUAAAAUGGAGUUUUGCAUAAUCUUGCAAACCAUGUUUUGGUGAGGUAGCCUUUCUACCUUGCUAAUGGCAUGUGCAAACACAUUACACUCUCCAUUAUUCUGUUUUGAAUCCAAAAUCGUGGCUAGUUGUCCUUGCCCUUGAAUUUUGGUGACUUGCUUCCAAAAAGGUGAAAAAUGAAAAAUUAAGGAAUAUGGAACAUAGGCAUGGUACAAGUCGUGGAUGAGUGCAAACAACAAAUGAUAAUGGUCCUUUCAUGAUCUGUUUGAGGUCCAAUUGCAACAAGUUUGAUUGCUUUUGGAGGAAAAUGCUUUUUGGCCAAAAUCUCAUUAUGGCUCGGGUUGGAAGACAAGUCAUGGUUUUAGCCCUCAACCAUGGCAUACCUUGAUGCACAAACACCAUAUAAUUGGUACAUAAUGGAAUGGCACAAAAAGUUGAGCUCAAAAGUGUGUAAUUUGAAAAAUGGCUCUGUAAAAUAAAUGGAUAACUUGAAAUGCAAGGUACAAGGUGGUCAAUUUGAGUUUGGACUUGAAUAAACCUCAAACAAUGAUGCACACCAGUCAUAUGAACCAUUUGUGAGGUGUUUGAGUAGGAAAAACACCCAAAAAGUCUUUAGAUAAAAACCUCACUUUUUCACUUUUGGACAAUUUUAGCAACUUUGAGGUUUGCACUACAAGUCAUUGAUAUAUGCAUUUUGGGAUUUUGGACAAUGAAUGAAAAUUGUAGAUAAUUAAAUAAGGUCAUAGCAAAAAGAACCUCCUCGUUUGGGUCAAAAAUGAGAAAGUUAUGGGGUAGUGAUGUUGGAAAAAUAAAUUAUAAUGUAUGUACCUCAUUCACCCUUUUCCAUUCAAAAUUGGCCUUGAAUAUGUGAAGAUCAAAUGUUAAAAAUGGUUGUGAUAUUGACUAUCAAAAAAGAACCACCUCAUUUGGCCAAAUAUUGAGGGAGUUAUGAUGUUUUGAAGUUGGCCCCAAAAUCACUAGGAACCAAAGAAGACCUAUAAUGUUUUCCCAAAAAAUGUGAACAACUUUAAAAUGAAAACCUAAAUGAUAAAAGUUGAUUAGAAUUUCAUGUAAAGCAAGAUGGUGGGAUCUAAAAUUAUUUAUGAACAACCAACAAUGAAAAUCGUAGGUAGUAACAAAAUGAAACCCUAGACUAAAUAUCAAAAUUAAAUGCUACUUAGUUCAUGAAAAUGC
rnacentral:lncRNA from 1 species